rnacentral:rRNA from 1 species
GAUGAACGCUGGCGGCGUGCCUAAUACAUGCAAGUCGAGCGAACAGACGAGGAGCUUGCUCCUCUGACGUUAGCGGCGGACGGGUGAGUAACACGUGGAUAACCUACCUAUAAGACUGGGAUAACUUCGGGAAACCGGAGCUAAUACCGUAUAAUAUAUUGAACCGCAUGGUUCAAUAGUGAAAGACGGUUUUGCUGUCACUUAUAGAUGGAUCCGCGCCGCAUUAGCUAGUUGGUAGGGUAACGGCUUACCAAGGCAACGAUGCGUAGCCGACCUGAGAGGGUGAUCGGCCACCCUGGAACUGAGACACGGUCCAGACUCCUACGGGAGGCAGCAGUAGGGAACCUUCCGCAAUGGGCGAAAGCCUGACGGAGCAACGCCGCGUGAGUGAUGAAGGUCUUCGGAUCGUAAAACUCUGUUAUUAGGGAAGAACAAAUGUGUAAGUAAAUAUGCACGUCUUGACGGUACCUAAUCAGAAAGCCACGGCUAACUACGUG